UCCGGCUUGUCACCGGCAGUCCCCUUAGAGUGCCCAACUGAAUGAUGGCAACUAAGGGCGAGGGUUGCGCUCGUUGCGGGACUUAACCCAACAUCUCACGACACGAGCUGACGACAGCCAUGCAGCACCUGUCUCCAGGUUCCCGAAGGCACCCCCGCAUCUCUGCGAGGUUCCUGGGAUGUCAAGACCAGGUAAGGUUCUUCGCGUUGCAUCGAAUUAAACCACAUGCUCCACCGCUUGUGCGGGUCCCCGUCAAUUCCUUUGAGUUUUAAUCUUGCGACCGUACUCCCCAGGCGGGGUGCUUAACGCGUUAGCUGCGCCACCGAAGAGCAAGCUCCCCGACGGCUAGCACCCAUAGUUUACAGCGUGGACUAC
rnacentral:misc_RNA from 1 species